rnacentral:rRNA from 1 species
UCCUACGGGGAGGCAGCAGUGGGGAAUCUUAGACAAUGGGCGCAAGCCUGAUCUAGCCAUGCCGCGUGUGUGAUGAAGGCCUUAGGGUCGUAAAGCACUUUCGCCAGAGAUGAUAAUGACAGUAUCUGGUAAAGAAACCCCGGCUAACUCCGUGCCAGCAGCCGCGGUAAUACGGAGGGGGUUAGCGUUGUUCGGAAUUACUGGGCGUAAAGCGUACGUAGGCGGAUCAGAAAGUAUGGGGUGAAAUCCCAGGGCUCAACCCUGGAACUGCCUCAUAAACUCCUGAUCUAGAGUUCGAGAGAGGUGAGUGGAAUUCCGAGUGUAGAGGUGAAAUUCGUAGAUAUUCGGAGGAACACCAGUGGCGAAGGCGGCUCACUGGCUCGAUACUGACGCUGAGGUACGAAAGUGUGGGGAGCAAACAGGAUUAGAUACCCUGGUAGUCCACACCGUAAACGAUGAAUGCCAGUCGUCGGGUAGCAUGCUAUUCGGUGACACACCUAACGGAUUAAGCAUUCCGCCUGGGGAGUACGGUCGCAAGAUUAAAACUCAAAGGAAUUGACGG